CAAGACCAAAGACCAAAGUAAAUAUUUGCACAGCACUAUCUCAGAGCAUCAGGGAAGGAAGAGGGAGGAGGGGCAUAAUACGAACAGGAACACUGAUGAUCCUGGUGUCGGGCUCAGCUCUGUUUCUGGGUGGAUGCAUGGCCUGUGCGAGACUGCCUUGCACUCCUUGAGGGCAAGCCUGCCUCUUCCCCAGUCUGAGACACCAGCAGAUAACGCCUGUGGAAAGAACAAGUCAAGGACAAGUGGUCAGGCAAGUGAUUCGCCCUGAUCCUCUAUUUCCUUGGCUAUCAUCUAGCUACUGACAAGAGCACUUUGGAGACUGAAUGACAUGAUGGGUGUGGAAGCAUCCAGAAUGGAGUUUAACAAGAAGCUCAUGCUCAAAAACAGUGUAAUCAGCAGCAAUUAAUUCUAAUCACAAGAAGACAGCAAGAAUGAACAGAGCAUUAAUUGGACAGAAGUAAUCAGAAUCUCCCUUAGCUCACAGUUGGUACUUGUAUGCAGGAGGACGUGAGCAGCCACAUGCAUGUAUACACACACAGUCUACAGGCCGUCAAAGGCUUCAAAAGAAUCCCUUGAAGUGGGCGUGAACACUUUACCUCUCUACAGAUGUGGAAACUGAGGCUCAUAGAGGUGGAGCAAAUUGGGAUUCAAAGUGCACUUUACCACACACAGAAAUUCAUCAUCUCCACUAAUGUCCAGCCUAAAGCUACGGGCAGUACAGUGGAGGCAGACAGACGUGCAUGCGUAGGCCUGUCGGGCGCUGUGAGAGAUGGACAUGAAGACUACCUGGAAAUUCAGCAGGUGGAGCCAUCAAUCUAAUGGGUGGCCAGGAAAGACUUCAGAGGAAGUGACUGACAGGGGAGAAGGUACUCACCGAGUGGGUGUAAGGAAGAGGAGUCUCCAGCCGGGAGAGACACAGUCCAGGCUGAGGGACAUUGUAAGCAAAAGUCCCACGACUCAAACCUCCCAGUCCAUUAAGGGAACUCCAAGGUGUCUGGCAUGACUGAAGGGCCCAGGGGCAGUGAGGGGAGAAAAGCGCUGGAGAGGCUUCCGUGGGCCUGUUCAUGGGAGGCGUUGGAAGCCACUAAGGAAACAUGACUUUUCCUAUAAACAGAAAAUAGAGAGCCACACAAGUGUUUUAUGGAGCACGUCAGGACUACAUUUGGAUUUUAUCAAGACUGUUUAGAGGCUUUGGUGAAGAAUUGGACAUUAUGAGUCUCAGGAGCAUGUAGAAUAGUUAGGGCACUUUUUUUAUAAUCCAAAUGAGAAUCAAUUAAAAAUGAUAAGGCCCUGAAUUAAAUCAGGGCCAGGGAGGACACAGCGAAGGGUACAAAUAAGAAACCUAUUAGAAAGUGAGAUGGAUAGUGGGGCCUAAGUUUACACUGAUUCUCAACUUUUGGACUUGAGACCAGAUGGAUGAUGGAGUCCUUCAUGGAAUUUGGGGAUGUCAUUAUCUUGUAAGUUUAAGUUUCAUGUUUGCAUCCUAGGUAACUAUCUUAGUCCUUCUCCUUGUUGGGCUGCUCUAACAGAAUACCUGAGGUUGGAUGACUUAUAAAGAAUAGAAAUUAAUUUCUCACAGUUCUGGACACUGGGAAAUCUGAGCUCAAGAUGACAGCAUCUGGUGAGGGCCUUCUGCUGCUGCACGUUCACAUGGCAGAAAAGAAGAAGGCAGAAGGACCCAAAGGGACAAACUCUAUGUCCUCUCAUUGCAUAAGAAUAGAAGAGAGGGCUGGGGAUGUGGCUCAAGCGGUAGCGUGCUCGCCUGGCAUGUGUGUGGCCCGGGUUCGAUCCUCAGCACCACAA